AGAGUUUGAUCCUGGCUCAGAAUCAACGCUGGCGGCGUGCCUAACACAUGCAAGUCGCACGAGAAAGGGACUUCGGUCCUGAGUACAGUGGCGCACGGGUGAGUAACACGUGAAUCAUCUACCUUCGAGUGGGGAAUAACUGAGAGAAAUCUUAGCUAAUACCGCAUAAUACCUACGGGUCAAAGCAGCAAUGCGCUUGAAGAGGAGUUCGCGGCAGAUUAGUUAGUUGGCGGGGUAAUGGCCCACCAAGACGAUGAUCUGUAUCCGGCCUGAGAGGGCGCACGGACACACUGGAACUGAAACACGGUCCAGACUCCUACGGGAGGCAGCAGUGGGGAAUUUUGCGCAAUGGGGGAAACCCUGACGCAGCAACGCCGCGUGGAGGAUGAAAUCCCUUGGGAUGUAAACUCCUUUCGAUGGGGAAG
rnacentral:rRNA from 1 species